rnacentral:rRNA from 1 species
GAUGAACGCUGGCGGCGUGCCUAAUACAUGCAAGUCGAGCGAACGGACGAGAAGCUUGCUUCUCUGAUGUUAGCGGCGGACGGGUGAGUAACACGUGGAUAACCUACCUAUAAGACUGGGAUAACUUCGGGAAACCGGAGCUAAUACCGGAUAAUAUUUUGAACCGCAUGGUUCAAAAGUGAAAGACGGUCUUGCUGUCACUUAUAGAUGGAUCCGCGCUGCAUUAGCUAGUUGGUAAGGUAACGGCUUACCAAGGCAACGAUGCAUAGCCGACCUGAGAGGGUGAUCGGCCACACUGGAACUGAGACACGGUCCAGACUCCUACGGGAGGCAGCAGUAGGGAAUCUUCCGCAAUGGGCGAAAGCCUGACGGAGCAACGCCGCGUGAGUGAUGAAGGUCUUCGGAUCGUAAAACUCUGUUAUUAGGGAAGAACAUAUGUGUAAGUAACUGUGCACAUCUUGACGGUACCUAAUCAGAAAGCCACGGCUAACUACGUGCCAGCAGCCGCGGUAAUACGUAGGUGGCAAGCGUUAUCCGGAAUUAUUGGGCGUAAAGCGCGCGUAGGCGGUUUUUAGUCUGAUGUGAAAGCCCACGGCUCAACCGUGGAGGGUCAUUGGAAACUGGAAAACUUGAGUGCAGAAGAGGAAAGUGGAAUUCCAUGUGUAGCGGUGAAAUGCGCAGAGAUAUGGAGGAACACCAGUGGCGAAGGCGACUUUCUGGUCUGUAACUGACGCUGAUGUGCGAAAGCGUGGGGAUCAAACAGGAUUAGAUACCCUGGUAGUCCACGCCGUAAACGAUGAGUGCUAAGUGUUAGGGGGUUUCCGCCCCUUAGUGCUGCAGCUAACGCAUUAAGCACUCCGCCUGGGGAGUACGACCGCAAGGUUGAAACUCAAAGGAAUUGACGGGGACCCGCACAAGCGGUGGAGCAUGUGGUUUAAUUCGAAGCAACGCGAAGAACCUUACCAAAUCUUGACAUCCUUUGACAACUCUAGAGAUAGAGCCUUCCCCUUCGGGGGACAAAGUGACAGGUGGUGCAUGGUUGUCGUCAGCUAGUGUCGUGAGAUGUUGGGUUAAGUCCCGCAACGAGCGCAACCCUUAAGCUUAGUUGCCAUCAUUAAGUUGGGCACUCUAAGUUGACUGCCGGUGACAAACCGGAGGAAGGUGGGGAUGACGUCAAAUCAUCAUGCCCCUUAUGAUUUGGGCUACACACGUGCUACAAUGGACAAUACAAAGGGCAGCGAAACCGCGAGGUCAAGCAAAUCCCAUAAAGUUGUUCUCAGUUCGGAUUGUAGUCUGCAACUCGACUACAUGAAGCUGGAAUCGCUAGUAAUCGUAGAUCAGCAUGCUACGGUGAAUACGUUCCCGGGUCU